rnacentral:lncRNA from 1 species
GCACAACUAGCUCUUGAAGAUUGAUAAGCAUUGUGCUUUGUAAUGAUUGAAAAAUCAUAACCAUGAAUCAAUGAAAAUUGAAAUAGUAAGCUAUAUCAAGUUUAAAUUCAUUGAUUUCUCCAAUUUUAAUGUGUUCAUAUUAAAAAUGACAAUGGUGCACACUUAAUGUUAAUUUGUAUUUCCCUAUGGAUCAAUAUGUCCCAUUGAUCAAUGUUUGAAUGUUCUUGCAGUGCUAAACACAAGGUAGAAUUGGAGCUUUGUGCAUAAAAAAAAAAUGUCAAACAGUUCCAUGAUCUUAGCCUUCCUCAAAGGCUGGGAAAAAAAAGCAAGCUUUGGAAUGCAUUUUGUGAGCAUAUGAAGACAUUGAACAGGUGAAUUUUUUCAUGAUGGUCAACACUAUGAUAGAUGCUCAACAAACAACUUGAGAGACAAUUUGAGUAACCUGCAUAGUGUUUUUGUGAAAACCAUGUUAGGCUUGAUUGUGCCAUUAUCUAAUGCUAUACAUAUGUUGAUUGAAGUGUGAAAACUUGAGGAGUCUUUCGAGCAGCAUUUGUAGGUUGAAAUACCUUGAAAUACUUUCUCUAUGGUUGUUCAAACUUGGAGAUUUUUCUGGAAAUCAUGGAGGAUAUGGAAUGCUUACAGGAGCUUGAUUUAAGUGGAACGUGUAUAAAAGAGCUUCCAUCAUCAAUUGAGUUUCUAAAACAUCUCGCUUAUUUGUGGUAAGAAAGGUUAGUGGUAAUUCAAAGCCCAAUUCUGAUCAGUUUACUCUACUGUUCACAAUUUCCCCCCAUUUCAUAGGUCAAACUUGAGCCAUUCCCACCCAAAAGGGAAAACAGGGGGCUCUUCCUAAUGGUAAGACCAUUGGUGCAAAGCGGGUUUGAAUGGAGGAUAUUAUACAUGGUAAUCUUUAGGUACAGAACCAAAUAGGUGGGUAGAUUGACACUAAAAAGGGUAAUUAAAAUUUUCUUUGGUGUUAAAAAAUUGUGUUUCAUUUACUAAUGGUCACACAGGCCAAAAUUGUGGGGAGAUUUUGGAGAAAAACACUAGUGAUAUUAGUAUAUGUUUCUCUCUUCCAAUAACCAGCUAGUAGAUGUUUCUCUAGGUGAUUUUUCUUAGCUCUCUUCCUUACUUCCUGAAAUUUUCAUAAAUUUUUUAGAGACUGUUUGUUGUCCAUUUCUCCCAUCAUGAAUGUAAAAUUGGCUUUGUCCCAUUCUGAAACACUAGUGAUAUUUGGUUUUCUCCAUUCCAUUUUUUUGUUCUCAUCCAACCUAUUCUCAAGAGAUUUUCCCAACAUUUUUCAAUCAUAGAAUAUAAAAUUAUAUGAAAUAAGUUUAUAUUGUAAUGUGGAUGCUAGUGUGUAUGCUGCACUUUGGCCUUGAAAAGGAGGGAAAAAAAAAAAAGAAGUUUGGCAGAUAUUAUAAGGUUGAUGCAUCUCAGUUUCAUAUUCCAAGCCUUAUUGUUUUCAGACUACAGAUGCUUUCAUCACUAAUCAUGUUUCAGUUUUCUUCAACAGCUUGAGAUCCCUUCUGGACAUAUAUACAAAAGAUCUUUCACUUGGACAUAUAUACAAAGGACUCCUAGUUUCUGUUAGUCUCAAGUCAUAGAUUGAUUUGUAAGUCUCUCAAUCUUCAACUUCUCAUAGUUCUGCAUUUUGGACACCAGAUAGAAGUGAAGUUAUCCCACUUUGAUUCUUCUGCAGUAGCAUUUGAUAAUAUGUCAUGUUGUUAUGUAAUUGCUUUUGUUUUUCAAGAUAUAUAUAAAGAUAAGAUUAGUGCUUCUAAAAGCUAUUCACUACAAGGCUCUAUUCUGCAAUGAGUAUGACUAGUCUACAUGAUGAUCUAAAACCUCUUCCAGUUUUUAACAUUUACCAGUUUGGAUCUAUUUUAACAAGUUAUAAAACUUGUCUACAUGACAUCUCUUAAAAAAUAGGUUCAACAAGAUAUAAUUAUCAAAAUAGUAUUACCAAAAUAGUGACAAAAUUUAAGGAUGAUUUUAAUGUUUAUUUAUUUUUAUGUCUAUGAAGUUUAUUUGUAAAAACAUUUGUAAUUAGAUUUUAAAUUGAUAGGGAUUAAUAAAAAUUUUGCUUGCCCUAUAAUUGAAAUCAACUUGGAAAUUUUAGAAGAUUUUGGAUCAAAUCUAGUCAGAUCUUGCUUUGAGGGGUGUGGAUUUUAGUAGCUCUUAUUUGUAUACAAAGCUCCUUUUCUUUGCAUCUUGUAGAAUAGAACAGAGUCCCAGUUUCAUGUGCUAUCUAUUGUUUAUAGGAAAUUGUAUACUUUCUUAGCUAACAAACAGAGAAGAAAACCAGAGGAAAGAAUAGGAAGAUUCAUUACUGGGUUGUUUUUUCUCUUUCCAAAUUUUGUCCCGUUUUUAAUGGAUUCUGAUUGAUGGUUAUUUUUUCUUUGUUUUAUGGCAGUGACUACAAUUGAUUCUGGUAGCAAGGCUCUUGAAUUUCUGAGGCUUGAAAAUGACCCAAACACAAUGAUUGUUUCUCCAAACAGUCAUUAGGUAUGGUUUACAUGAGUGAAGGUUUGUGAAGUUUUUAUGUUGUUAUGGAUUCACGGAUGAAAAGCUGCUUUAUAAGAUAUCCAUGGUUUGGUUGCUGAAAAACUGAGGAAAAGGGAAAGUAAAUUUUGAAUUAUUUUUAUUUUUAUUUUUCCGGGUUUUUGUUCCUUAUCCAUGGAUUUCCAUAUCAAAUUUUUUUAUGAUUACAUUUUUUUCUUUGAUUUCUAUAAUAAAAAGACAUGUCCUUUGAUUUUUUAUGUAGAUAAAUACAUUGUGGCAGCAACGUAAGUUCGUAUACUUUGUUCUUCUGGCUGGGUAGUUCUCCUUUAAGUUUCAAAAAGACAAUCAAAUUUUUUGUUUAGUUCUUUGUUUUGAUUUGUCUGUAGUCAAUCUAUAUAUGCAUCCUGCUUGUGCAGAUUUUUUUGGAGGUGCAAUUUGAUGGAUAUUGGCCCGCAAAAUUUGGCAUGGAUUCAACCAGAAAUGAACUGGCUUUGGUAUCAAUGGGAAAUUUGGAGGUGCAAUCUGUAUCAAUUACAGGAGGCCCAACCCUGUUCAAUGGUUAUUCAACAGUUCAUACCUCCAAUUAUUUUUGUUGUGACACAGUGGCUUAUUAAUCACCCCAAGUUUCAGAAAAAUCCACUUUACAUCAGUGGUGACUCAUAUUCAGGCAUAAUCAUCCCCAUGGUGGUUCAAGAAAUAUAUAUCCAAUAUGGCUGAGGAAAGGAGAAUAGUUUCAUGAGUUAUAUAAAAACACUAUUUAACCUAAGAUUUUGCAUUUCUUAAGUUCAAUUUUCCUUUUGUUUUGAACACCCAAACAGAGUUUUAAGAUUGACUAAUCAAUUCAACUCUUAGAGGAACUAAGAAUACCUGUAAAUGGAGAUGAAAAGAAGGACAUGAUGGUUCAGGAUUAGGCUCCAUCUGAGCCCAUGCUUUCAUUUUUCCUUUGGGAUUCCAAAAAGACUACAUAUAUUUCUAAUAAGGUGCCUAAUCGUCCAAUUGAAAUUUCCUUUCUUCUUAUUUUUUGGCUGCAGGUAAUGAUGCAGGGAAAGAGCCAAAAAAUGAAUAUUCAAGUAUGUAAUCUAAUUAUAUGAUUCCAGUGACUUGCGCCUUAUGGUUUUAACUUUUGUACAUUAUAUUUGAAUCCAUUUGAUCUUCUUUUAAUUGGACUCAGGGAUACACCGUUGGAAACCCAAUAACAAAUCACUUUAGUGACUUCAAUUCAAGAAUUGCAUACACUCAUCAAGUAGGAAUUCUAUCAUAUGAGCUUUAUGAGGUGAUUAUUCCCCUUACUCACUCGGGUUUAAUUCUUAAUCGAAUAUGAUUCCAAAAUUUGCAUUGAUUUGUUAUGCAUUUCUAGGCAACUAAAGCAGUAUCCUCUUGUGAAUACUAUUAAAUUGUACAAGGGAUGGUUCAGGGGUUGCCACCUAAGAAGCAUUCAGAGAAUGUCAUUCAGGUUUUAGACACAUGCUUGUACCAUUCUACAUAUUGAAUUGAAUUUUUGGUUUUGACUGAAUUGAAAGAUGGAUUUUUUUUUUUUUUACUUGUUUUGCAAAAAUUGUAAGAAAUAAUCUGAAAAAAAAAAAGAAAACAAAAAUGCAAAGAUUCAGGUGGUUGAAGAUACCCCAAGUGGCAAUUGACUGAAUUAGAUAAAAUGAAGAUCAAUUCAACUAUGUGUUUAUAGAAUGUUUUAAGAGGCAAUUGGGUUUUAUGUUUUCUUUAAAUCUAAAUGGCAUCAUGUCUCUUUCUUUUGACUAGUCUUUUCCUUUCCUUACUUUUACCAAAUACCAAAUAGAGUUUGAGCAUGCAGUUUUACUCAACUUCUGCUACUAAUUAGAGUAUUUGUUGGUGAUAUUUUCUUUUUCAGGCCAAUAUCUAAAAGCUAAGGUUGAUGGAGGAUUUGGCAGGGACAUGCUGGAGUUUUUGUUGAAAGGACAUGUGGUUGCUUAUAGAACCAUGGUUACAAGAGUUUCUUGAAAUAGCCUGAAGAUUAACUGAUUGAUAGAGUUGUCGACUUGUGAUGCAGUUGCGUUUGCUGAUGUUUGCUGAAAGAUUAUCUAAAUGGCAGUGUCGAUUUGAUUAUGGUUUGCUGAUGUUUAUAUUGACAUUCAGUUUGGUAUCUGUAACUGGCUAUCCUCAACCAUCCUCAUUAGUAGCACCACAGCUGUGUUUGUAUCCAUAGGCAUCUGCCCAAUGUGGGCUGGUGAUGAUCUUCACAAGUUGGUUGCUGGCAAUGUUGAAAAGCUUGGGAACUUCUUAGAAGGUAUGCCUAAAAUAAAAAGGUGGCAUUACACCCCAAAUGAAUGUGUGGAUUGCUCGAGAUAAACCCAAAGAGCACCAUACCUUUUACAUUUUUUUAAUCUCAUUUUGAUGACUUAUAAGUAAGUGAAUUUGCAGGAUUUUCAGGGGAAUAUUUUAGAGUCUUAGGAGAUGGAGAAUCCAAGGAUAGCAAAACAUUUCUUCAAGGAUACAAAAGUAUUUUGACUUCAAAAAUCAUUGAAGAUUCCUUGGUGAGUUGAAAGAUUGAUCUAUUUCACUGUCAAAAUUAUCUAAAUUCAUAGACUACAUCAAGUUACAACUUGUUUAAAUUUCUCAAUUUGAAGACAAAUUUUGUAAGAUAGGAGCCUAGACAUGGUCGUUUCAGGUUUCGUCAUCCUUAGAAACAAUACCAAAAGAUUGGAUCCCUAGCUGGCCAAUGCACCUAUCUCAUUGAUGCUCUUAACAGCUACCCUCACUCUCAUAUCCCGGUAGUAAACUCAACUCACAAACUAAAAUUCAUUGCCUUUAGAUUACUUGAUUUAACUUGGGUAAGAAAAAGCUAUGGCAUAAUCUGCUUUCUCAACUCACUUCACUCUGAUGUGGUAUCCUCACAGGCCUCCAUAGAGAUCCAAAGCAAAAUUCAAGAGUAUGACUAAACCAUGCUCUGUUGAUCCCUAUAUUGUAAACUUAAAAACUGCUGCUAAAACCCUCAAAUCGUUGCUCGAAACUCAUUCUUGUGAAGACGUUGACCUUCUUGAGCUAAUGUCAACUGCUGUUAGUAGGUUUAUGUUUAAUGGCAUUAUCCAUCAAAAUUAGUCUAAAAAUGUUUAUGUUUUAUUUUGCAAAAUGUAACAAAUUCCUCUAUAUUUUGAAUGCUAGGUGAGUAUUAUUAUCGUGGGAGGAGUUCAUAGAAUUUUAAUUUAAAAAAAAAAUCAAAUUAAAUGAAAACCUAUAUGUAGAAUGACGACAAAUUUAUAUUCCAAUAUACAAGGCCGAUUUAUAUUUCUUUCUUCAUUGAGCAAAACAGUGUAAAGAAAAUUUGGAUUGCCCAAUCGUGUUAAUUUUAGUGAAUUGAUAAUUGUGUGGUCCAAAUUGGAAACUAGGAUAUCUUAAUGUUGCUUUUAUAUAUGAUUCAUGUAUGCAAUAUGCCUAUAAUUUUCUACACAGGAGUAUUAUUGUUAAUGGGUGUGUAACUAUAGCCUGAGCCUAGGAUAGUGGAUCAAAAGAACAUGGAAGAGGAACACAAAGUUGUCUUAUCUGGUAAAGCUGGAGAAGUUGACUAUUUACACUCUCUACAUGGCCAAAUUGGGAAACCAAAGGCAAAUGUAUUUACCCGGUUCACUGGAUAGAUGUUUAUAGAAUCGAAGAAGGCAAAAUAGUUGGAUUCCCAGGACAAAAGUCUUAACUAGACAAAUAUUUAUCAAAUUGAUUUAGCAUUAUGCUUUGUAAUGAUUGAAAAUUGAAAGAGUAAGCUAUUUUAAGUUUAAAUUCAUUCAUUUCUCCAAUUUUAAUGUGUUCAUAUUAAAAUGUCCCACUAAUCCAUGUUGAAUGUUCUUGCAGUGCUAAACACAAGGUAGAAUUGGAGCUUUGUGCAAAAAAAAUGCCAAACACUUCCAUGAUCUUAGACUUCUUCAAAGGUUGGGAAAAAUGCAAGCUCUGGAAUGCAUUUCGUGAACAUAUGGAGACAUUGAACAGGUAAAUAUUUACAAGAUGGUCAACACUAUAAUAGAUGCUCAACAAACAUGAUUGACUUGAGAGAGAAUUUGAGUAACCAGCAUAGCAUUUUUGCGAAAACCAUGUUAGGCUUGAUAGUGCUUUUAUCUAAUGCUAUACAUAUAUUGAUUGAAAUAGUACAAACAUAGAGCUACCUUUCUAUCAUUAUUUGGUUCUUAAUUUUGUUAACUGAGUCUAAAAUAUAUUAGAUGUGUUAAAUUUUGUGAUUCAUCAUUAUGAAAGGCAUCAUAUAUGAGUGCACACACAUUGAAACUCAUAUUAUCUCCAGUUGGAAAAUAAAUAUUUCAUUGAGGGUGUCUUAUGGUUUAGGGAAUGAAGUAAAGAAUUAUGUCAUUCUGCAUAACCUCUAAUUUUAUACUCUAGUUUAGACAUAUAUAUUCUUCUUAUAUCAGAUACUUAGAUUUUGGCUUUUUCAUUAUAUAUGAAAUCCAUAUGCAUGAAAACUUAAAUAAAGAGAAAAUAUAAUACAAAGUGGGAAGCAAAUCACUUGAUCCCCAGGGCCAAUAGAGCUGCAGAAAUAUCCUGAGCUUCAUAACCCUCUUCUACAAAGGCAAUAUGAGGGCUAUCUUGUGGGAUCGUGUUUUCCCUUUUGAAGUUGUCUUUCAUUGCAAUGAAGUUUCUCCCCACCAUACCUCACCAAACCUAUUAGAAUAAUGGCCUUGUGGAGGCCAACAACUAGGUCUUCAUAAUUUGUAUCCCAUCUUUUCUAAACAAACACCACCAUUUUAAAGAGGUCAAUUCCCCACCUGAUUGAGACAUACCUGCAGAAGACAUAAAUGUAAAAGAGUUGGUAGUGUUUUUUAUGUGUGCUAUAUGCAUAGGGAAGAGAUCUUACCUUGGUGCUUAGACCCUUGAUGCAGAUAAGGGUACCACAUUCAACCUUAAUGCAAUUUGCAUAUGGACAAGGCAACAAUGGAAGCCUCUUAUCUGCAUCCUUUUGUUACAGGCCAUCAAUUCUCUAAGUUUAUCAUUUAUUUGUUUAAAUUCUUAUUGGAAAUAUAGUACAAGAAAAUCAAUCAGUUCAUAUCCAAGGUACUAGUCUCUACAACUUUUUUUCCAAAGGGUGGUUAGUAACAAUCUUACCUUAACUUUUGGUUUCUCCUACAGCCACCCACAUUUCAUACUCCACAAUGUCAACCAUUGAUCUAACAUUCUUAGCAUGCCAUCAAUACUCAACAUGGGCCUACUAGAUCUUUUACAUAAAAACAAGGGUAAAGAAGAAAUUUUAUCCAUCUAUGAAUGUGCACCCAAUGGAUUAUUUGAUCCAUAUUGAUGCAAUACGGUCAAAUGCACUAGUAAAUAUGUUCCUCCUCAUGUCAACAUAUUUUAUUGUCUAGGAGGAAUUACACUUACUAGUUUUUUAGUACAAGUAUUUGUACUACAAAUCAACUACAAAACCCCUCAAUGGACAUUAAAUUUCCCUCCCACAAUUAUAAACCAAUGCAUCAAAUUCUUUUAAGUUCACUUGAUAACAUCUUAAAUUUUCUACUAUUCUCUUGUAAACUCAAACCAAUCAACAAUACCAAUCUUAUUCAACUUAAGCUAGAGUUGAUAACUUUCAUCACAUUUUUUAUAAUUGUCAGUAAUCUCUUAGUGCAAUCUCUAUUGCUAUCAUAACAAUCUAUUACAUACAACUCUUGUUUUUUUUUAGGAUUGUGGCUAACACUAUAAUUAAGCCAUGUGGGUUAGAGUUUCAAUGAGUUCCUUCUGUUAGUUUCUGCAUUAAGUGCUCGAUUAAUCUUAAAGUAUCCAUAAAGAGAAACCUUUAAAAGAAGGUCUUCUACAUCCCUUAGGGAGUCACUCAUGGGUUCUUCAAUAGUUGGCAUGAUCCCAAGAUGGGUGUUGUAGUGGCGGUUCCAGUGGUGCUCAACAUGGGUAAGUAGUUACAGUAUGUUCUAGCCAUGAAAACUAAUGGAUGUUCUUUAGCCCAUUUUAUGGAACUGAAGUCAUAAGUUAUUGUCAGUAAGGAGGUUUAGGAGGGCAUUUUCUAUGCCUUUUUGGUCAUGUCUAUGAGGAGUUUACUGUUAUGUGCCUUGUUAGAUAAAACAAGUAGGUUUAUAGAAAAUAACUAUUGAAAGUUCAAUAUAUAAACUCUUAUGACGAUGGGCUAAGAUCUAAAUAAGCAGAAUCCACCGGGCUUGCUAGUCUAACACCUAAUUGUAUUGAUCUAAAAUUUACCUUGAUAAUAUCCCCAUGCCCACUAUUUUUUGUAGCAACAAUAGAUAAACCAUAUUCUAACCCAAAAAAAGGGGUGUAAACCAUAAGUACCUACUUAUAAGGCAAUAAAUGGAUUAGAUUGGAACCAAAUGGCUCCACAAGAGCUGGGUUGAUAAAAACCCAUUUCAAGAGGCAAAUCCACCACAAAAGUGGUAACAUUAGAUGUUUGUAUGUCACAAUGAAAAGAACAAAAAGGUUUAGGUGUUGAAAACCAUAAGCAGGGACCCAGGCUGAUUAAUUGUGGGUCUUGCUAUCGACAUGAAGUAGCCUAAUUUGGCCAUUGAUACUUAGAGAUGAUGGGACUUAUGUUUUCUGUUAGCUAUUUCAUCAAUACUAAAAAUUUUGGCAGACCAUGAUCAAUAUGAAUUCUUAGAACUUGCUACAGCUUUGUUAAGGGCCCACUAAUCUUUGAUAGGGGAUCAUAAUGUAUGUGUUGAAUAUUCUACAAGGAUUAUGAAAUUUACUUUAGUUUUUGUAGCUAACGUAUGUGUUCCUAGAACUUUGGACUAUGAUGCUUUGGAUAAGGCACUUGACCACACAAGUCACACUUCUCUAUGAACUUAAGCACUGUUGUAAGGGAAACCGAGCUACUCUUAGACAUUUCUUCUAUGUCGUCUUUGUUUCCUAAAAUCAAUGUCUACAAAAACAAGACCAAAUCAACAAGAAACAUAGCUUAGAGUCAAUGUUAAAAUUGUAUUUGUUUUCUAUUUGGAUCAUGGGAAAGCGCUUUGAAAUGAAAUUUUUUUACUAGUCUGGCUAUCUCUCCAAAAGCCUUGAGCAGAGACUAGUGACAUUAUUUUUAGGAUCAAGACAAGACAACACAAGUGUCAUUGUCACCUUAUGAAUGUUGCAUUGUAACAUAGCUAAAGUAAAGCAAUACCAUGGAAAUUUAGUACUACUUGGUUUAGUUAAGGUAUGGUUUUGAUAUUGCUGGAGUCAAUUCCUCUACCAUCUGUGGCUGGUCAUAAAUGAUUCUAGUCUAGGUAAGUGAGUUGUACUUGGCUACAGUGAAUACUUCAUUUUCUUUUCAAGUUCAAGAAUUGAUCUUGUGGUUGUUUUUACUCACUCCAUUAGGUUAUCGUGGUUCUUUCGUUUUCUUUACCUUGCUCCUAUAGUAAUGAAAUACUUCCUAUCUACAAGUGUGUUGCCAAAUGCAUAUCUAAAUGGUGGUUUAUUCUUGCCAACAGUUGCCUUGUCCCCAGAAGUCUCCAAGUGAGUAAUGAAAGGAUAUAAAACUGAUUUCCAUAAAGGAUGAAAGUCUCUCUACUGCAUCAGCAAUCGAUGAACCAGUGCAUGCAAUCAUCGUGUUUUCUUCUAAAAAUCUGUGUGAAAAUUGCUAGUCCAAAAUUGAUUGGCCACGUAAGCAAAGUUAGUUGAUUAACUAACUGAAAGUGCGAGCUGGCACACCUGUUUGCUUAGCAAUUUUUUUUUUCAUGUACUCAUGUAUAAAAAUGUGAAGAAAAAAAAAAGAUUUUUUUGAAUUGUAGAAAGGAAGUGAGAGGAUUUUAGAGUGUGAGUCUUCUUCACUAUACUGUAGCGAGAGCUUGAUGAUUCUCAGAGAUUCUUGAGGGUGUAAAAUGGUUCAAUCUUAGUGGAUUUUUGGAGGUGAUCUUGAUCCGUGGAUGUAGGAUUCAAUCUUGGAUCCGAACCACGUAAAUCCUGCUUGUUUUGUUAUGUUUUGAUAUUAGAUAUUAUUUUCUUUUGAUUUAUGGUUUUGUUUUCUUUGUCUUCUUGGAUUGGUGUUCAAUCUCAAUUCAUUGAGGAACUUGGAUAAAAACUCAACACUAUGUUUUGUACUUUUCAUUCAACUUGGAUGAUUGGAUAUUUGCUACAAUGUUAGGCUAGAUGACCGAGUUAGCAUCUUCAAUUGAUGGAAUUGAAGAAGAACUUAUUU